rnacentral:rRNA from 1 species
UACUAUAGCUUGACACUGAACAUUGAGCCUUGAUGUGUAGGAUAGGUGGGAGGCUUUGAAGUGUGGACGCCAGUCUGCAUGGAGCCGACCUUGAAAUACCACCCUUUAAUGUUUGAUGUUCUAACGUUGGCCCCUAAUCGGGGUUGCGGACAGUGUCUGGUGGGUAGUUUGACUGGGGCGGUCUCCUCCUAAAGAGUAACGGAGGAGCACGAAGGUUGGCUAAUCCUGGUCGGACAUCAGGAGGUUAGUGCAAUGGCAUAAGCCAGC